rnacentral:rRNA from 1 species
GACGAACGCUGGCGGCGUGCCUAACACAUGCAAGUCGAGCGGAGUCAGUAAGAAGAAGUUUUCGGAUGGAAUCUUAUUGAUUUAGCGGCGGACGGGUGAGUAACGCGUGAGCGACCAACCUUGCACAGGGGGAUAACGGACCGAAAGGUUCACUAAUCACGCAUGAGACCACGGUGUUGCAUGACACAGAGGUCAAAGGAGCAAUCCGCUUAAAGAUGAGCUCGCGUCUCAUUAGCUAGUUGGUGAGGUAACGGCUCACCAAGGCUGCGAUGGGUAGCCGACCUGAGAGGGUGAUCGGCCACACUGGAACUGAGACACGGUCCAGACUCCUACGGGAGGCAGCAGUGGGGAAUAUUGGGCAAUGGGCGAAAGCCUGACCCAGCAACGCCGCGUGAGGGAAGAAGGUUUUCGGAUUGUAAACCUCUGUCCUUGGGGACGAAAAAAAUGACGGUACCCAAGGAGGAAGCCCCGGCCAACUACGUGCCAGCCGCCGCCGUAAUAC